GGUCAUAUUAACCUAUUUGUAGAUCUUACUUUGCUGAUCAUUUUUGCUGUUUACAGUUUAUCUUUAUCUAUAAUGAUAUUCAAGAUAAUGACCAAAAACUGCAAAAUUUCCUUAAAAUUACCAAUUAAGUGGCAGCAACCCAACAAUGGUUUGUUUGAUUCAUCUGAAAAUUUCAGGGCUGAUAGAUCUUGACCUAAUGAACAUUUUUACCCCAUGUCAGAUUUGCUCUAAAUGCUUUCGUUUUUGAGAUAUAAGCCAAAAACUGCAUUUAACCCCUAUGUUCUAUUUAAAGUAAGGGCGGCCAUGUUUUUUGACGGAUCAAAAAUCGAAGCACACACUUUGUGCAGGAUAAUCUAAGGAACUAUCAUGCUAAGUUUCAUCCAAAUCCAUUCAGUAGUUUCAGAGGAGAAGAUUUUUUAAAGUUAGCAAAUAUGAUGAACAAAUUGUGAAAAAUUGUCAUUAAAGGACAUUUACCCCUUAAGGGGUCAAUUGACAAUUUUGGUCAUAUUAACCUAUUUG
rnacentral:lncRNA from 1 species